rnacentral:rRNA from 1 species
CGCUGAAACACCGGUUCUCGUUCGAUCACCGAAGUUAAGCAUCGUAGAGCCAGGUCAGUACUUAGAUGGGGGACCGCUUGGGAACACCUGGUACU